CGGCAACAGCUCAAAUUUAAAAUCUGGCGGUCUCUGGCCGUCCGAGUUGUAAGUUAGAGAAGUGUUACCCGCGCUGGACCGUGUACAAGUCUCCUGGAACGGAGCGUCAUAGAGGGUGAGAACCCCGUC
rnacentral:rRNA from 1 species